rnacentral:misc_RNA from 1 species
UAGGCCCCGUCUUUGUGCGGCUGACUACCGGCGCCGUGUCCCGUCAUUCGUGUGACAUAUGUUACAAUAUGCUUUCCAAGUGCUUGUGUGUUGGUACCCGAUGUACGGGAAGUGGUGCUUCUUACACGGUUGGAUCCCGGUGACGCCUUCGGGUGUGCUACCGUGGCCAAAUGGCGCCUGUGGCGUUGCUUUGUGGUGCUGGCAUGUUUUUCGUGUCUGGUUCUACCAACGCAACCUUGCUCCCGCUGAUGGUUUUGGAUGUCGCUCACAAUAAAGGCUCAUGGCCCUUUUGGCUGCCUAGACCUGACCCUAAAUACGCUCUCCUCGUUUGAGAACAACCGGAACAGGUGUUGCCUCUACCUCUCCACAGUUAGUGGUAGGAUACGCAACAUUCUGCGUCGAUCCUUGAACUAGUAGGAUGAGCUUGGCCCGCUCAAACGUGACAACUGGCCUGGCUGUUGCCUCUGUCUUUUCGUUAAACGGACUGACAAAGUACUAGCUGAUGCUGGACGUCAAAGAGGACGUGCUACCUGGUUGAUCCUGCCAGUAGUC